GACGGUGGUCCUCUUCAUUAAAAUUAUAUUGUAUCUGGGUCAAUGACCAAUAAGCAAAAUAUCUACAUCAUAUUGACCAGCCGCUCUAUACUGAGCCACUAGCUACCAGAAUUCGGACUCAGAAACAAUAAUUAUAAUAAAUUUAAU